rnacentral:rRNA from 1 species
UACGUAGGAGGCGAGCGUUGUCCGGAUUUACUGGGCGUAAAGGGCGCGCAGGCGGCACGUCAAGUACCUCGUGAAAUCUCCCUGCUCAACGGGGAGGGAGCGAAGUAGACUGGCGAGCUAGAGGACGGUAGAGGGGGGUAGAACUGCUGGUGUAGCGGUGAAAUACGUAGAGAUCAGCAAGAAUACCCGUGGCGAAGGCGGCCCCCUGGGCCGAACCUGACGCUGAGGCGCGAAGGCUAGGGGAGCGAACGGG